rnacentral:rRNA from 1 species
GACGAACGCUAGCGGCGUGCCUAAGAAAUGCAAGUCGAGCGAGGUUAGAGAGCUUGCUCUCGAAGCCUAGCGGCGAACGGUCGCGUAACACGUAAGGAACCUGCCCCGAAGUGUGGGAUAGCCCCGGGAAACUGGGAAUAAUACCUCAUGUGGUCCACUGGAGGCAUCUUUGGUGGUCUAAAGCAGUAAUGCGCUUUGGGAUGGUCUUGCGGCCUAUCAGCUAGUUGGUGUGGUAACGGCUCACCAAGGCGACGACGGGUAGCUGGUCUGAGAGGAUGGUCAGCCGGACUGGGACUGAGACACGGCCCAGACUCCUACGGGAGGCUG